AGUGAACGCUGGCGGUAGGCCUAACACAUGCAAGUCGAACGGCAGCACAGUAAGAGCUUGCUCUUACGGGUGGCGAGUGGCGGACGGGUGAGGAAUACAUCGGAAUCUACUUUUUCGUGGGGGAUAACGUAGGGAAACUUACGCUAAUACCGCAUACGACCUACGGGUGAAAGCAGGGGAUCUUCGGACCUUGCGCGAUUGAAUGAGCCGAUGUCGGAUUAGCUAGUUGGCGGGGUAAAGGCCCACCAAGGCGACGAUCCGUAGCUGGUCUGAGAGGAUGAUCAGCCACACUGGAACUGAGACACGGCCCAGACUCCUACGGGAGGCAGCAGUGGGGAAUAUUGGACAAUGGGCGCAAGCCUGAUCCAGCCAUACUGCGUGGGUGAAGAAGGCCUUCGGGUUGUAAAGCCCUUUUGUUGGGAAAGAAAAGCAGCAGGUUAAUACCCCGCUGUUCUGACGGUACCCAAAGAAUAAGCACCGGCUAACUUCGUG
rnacentral:rRNA from 1 species